rnacentral:rRNA from 1 species
GCAACCUACGGGGCGCAGCAGUGAGGAAUAUUGGUCGAUGGUCGGGAGACUGAACCAGCCAAGCCGCGUGAGGGAUGAAGGUACAGAGUAUCGUAAACCUCUUUUGUCAGGGAACAAAGGCGGGGACGCGUCCCCGGAUGAGUGUACCUGAAGAAAAAGCAUCGGCUAACUCCGUGCCAGCAGCCGCGGUAAUACGGAGGAUGCGAGCGUUAUCCGGAUUUAUUGGGUUUAAAGGGUGCGCAGGCGGUCUUUUAAGUCAGCGGUCAAAGCCCGGGGCUCAACCCCGGCCCGCCGUCGAAACUGGG